rnacentral:misc_RNA from 1 species
CGUCCGACAAGCUUUGGUCUCAAAGUUGGGAGUUCGCGUGGAGGAGAAGCGCGCGCCAUGAAUGGAAUGAACCCCCGCGCGCCCUGAUCCGACGGCCAGCACGUCGUCCGCUAGCCUUGAAACCGAAGCAUCCUCCUCCUCGCCCGCCGCCCCGCUCCGGCAGUUACCAGUCGGCUCUCUCGUGCUCUCUGCCUGCAGGCUGCAGCGGCGCCCGUCCGGUCGCCUUGCCACGUCGCCGCCCGCGCCCACCACCUGAGGCCGGUCGCCCAUCCAUAACGCCCACUCCCGCAGUCCAGUCCCCACCUCUUCUCUCACAUCACAGAGUCGCACGCACGCCUCCUCCCCUCCCUCCCCCCCUCACUUCCCACGCCUCCUCACCGCGCGCAGAUCGGAGGAAUGGUGAGCGCGUCGAGCCUGCUCCUCCCGACCUCCGUGCGGGACCUGGCCUCCUGCGUCUCCGACGGCGCCGUCCGCGUCGCCUGCACCAGCCCGGCGUCCACGCUCACGGUCUCCUCCUCCUCCUCCACCACCUCCUCGCCGCCGCCGGCCACGCUCUCCGUCGCCAUCUCCUACCGCGCCACCCCGCAGGCCCCGUCGUCGCCGCCGCUCUUGCUGCGCCUCACCUGGUCGCACUCCCGGCACGGGCCCCCGACGCUCUCCUUCGCCGGACCCACCGCGUCGUCCCCCGCCGUCCUCCUCCGCCGCCGCAGGGGCACCUACUGCCUCCCCUCCUCCACCUCCACAUCCACCCACAUCCCCCCGCUCGCUCUCUUCUGGGACCUAACCGCCGCCAGGUACAGUCCGGCCUCGUCCCCGUCCCCGGAGCCAGCCUCCGGGUUCUACGUCGUCGCCGUCGCCAGCGCCGAGGUGGUGCUGGCCGUGGGCGACCUGGCGGCGGAGUUCAUCAAGGCGAAGUUCGAGGGCCAGAUCCCCUGGGCGCGGUCCAUCCUCCCCGUGUCCCGCACCGACCGGGUCGUGGCGGCGGCGCCGCGGCCGGGCGGGGCGGUUCACACGGCGCGGGUCCGGUUCGGCGAGGGCGCGCCGGAGCACGAGGUGGCCGUGGGCUGCUGCCGCGCCGGCGCCGGCAGGCCCGGGGAGGAGGAGCUCUGGGUCAGCGUGGACGGCAAGCGCGCCGUGCACGCGCGGCGCCUGCGCUGGAACUUCCGGGGCAACCAGACGGUGUUCGUGGACGGGGCGCCCGUCGACGUCCUGUGGGACCUCCACGGCUGGUGGUUCCAGGACCCGCCCGGCUGCGCCGUCGUGAUGCUCCGCGCCAGGAGCGCGCUCGAGAGCCGGCUCUGGCUGGAGGAGGAGGCCAGGGCGCCCGGGUUCGCGCUCCUCGUGCAGGCCUUGAGGACGCCGCCCUGAUCUUGGUGGUCCUUUGAAUCCUGAUGAAGAGGUCAAAUGCUCACUGCCUGCUGGUUGAUCAUGUUUCCUUUUGACUAGGGAAUUUGGUGGGUGGUAUUUAGCAAACCAAACCAAAUCCAGCCGGGGGGGAAUGGUGGCUGCGUUGGCAAUCUAGACGUUUUUAGGUUCCGGUGUGUGGAAUGGGUUUGGGAAGGACACCAUGGAUUUUCAUGUGGUUUUGGUAUACCAAGAGGAGAUAUAUUGAUCUGUGACUGCUGUUUGGGUCAUCUUCUUUCUGUCUGUCUGUAUGUCUUUUCUUCUAAAAACUUGCUGCUUGUUAUUUCCCGAUAAUUUGCAGCUCUAUGAGGUCUGUGCUCGUACAGUUUAACAAAGGAUUAUACAGUAUCAUCAUAGGGUGUGCCUUGAUUCAGCAUUACCAACUAUAUGUAUUGAUUAUACAAUUGCUCUUCACUGUUUAUACGGAGUGCUGCAGUAACAGUGAUGCAGGUGAUUCCAGCACCAUUCCUAGUACAGCGGCACAGUGCGAGCAGUGCCUCCCCUCAAUGGAUUCCCGCACCAUCUCCGCCAGACAUAUCGUACUGUUUACCAAAGAUCCGCUACAUGUUUUCCAGUGCUGUUUACCUGUGUUUGCAGUCUACCUCAUCAUUCCCAUGCCACCACCCGUUUGGUUCUAGCAUGUUGUUACUUGAUUAUGUUUAGUUUCUGCAGGCGCGCGCACACACACAGCGAUGUGUCCCUGUCAUGAUUUAUGGCCACAUGACUGGGUCCCCCAAAUACAGAGAGAGAGAGCAUGGGAGAGGGGGGCGUCAAUGGAAGGAACACGCACUUGGCGUUGGUUGGUCCCAACUUGACCCAGCAUCCAAAACAAGCUGAGGGGUUGAUGGCAUAUAUAUCGGAUUAUUGCUUUGCUUCUCAGAGCUUGCUUGCCUUCCCAGAUCCUGUUGCGUGCCUUUUUGUGCUCUGGCUUUGUUUUAUCUGAUGCACUUGGCGUAGAGCAGCAGGCGAAAGAGACUGAUGGCGCUGCCACCUAUCGUGCGUGCGAGCAUAUCACCGAAUCUGUCACUCCCUCCGUUUUUUAAAAUACACAUUGCGGUUUUUAAAUAAAUAAUUAAAUUGUAUAAAUGUUAUUUAUUUUUGUUCUGACUUAUUUUAUCAUUAGAGAUAUUUUAGUAACAACUUAUUUAUUCCAUUAUUUGCGAGAGAGAGAAAAAAAUAUGCUCCGGAUCCGGAUGGCAGCUUCACCAAACAGGCCAUAUACACAUACAGACGCUCAGGGGGGGCAGGCACCGUUCCGGAAUCCAGGACGACGACGACGGUUCCCGGCACGGCACGGGACGCCGGGCGCCGGCAGCCAUGGAUGGAUGGAUGGAUAUAUGUGAUCGAGCUGUAUGGCCUAGGUAUUUUUUUGGAGUUGGGGAUGGCCGACAAAUGCAGCGCUGCUUUCACGGUCCAUGAACACGUUGCUUCCAGGCUAAAUUACGCAGCGUGUAAGACGUAUUGUAAUGCUGCUUUGCUUGGUUGCUGUCCAGCACUUCGCGCUGUUUCAGGUAUGUAUGGCUGCGUUUAGGUUAAUUCUCCUCUUCAGCACGG